GUUAGGGUGUUUUUUUCUACGUGUGCUUUACACAUGAUACUAGUAUGUCGCUGUGGCUUAUAGCAUGCCCGCAGUCCCCGCCACGGCCAAUGGAAUGUUUGGAGAAUAUGUCAAAGCUUUCAAGUUUGAUGCAACGUAAACCAAGCUGAUUACGAACACAGCAGUCAUUUCGCUGCCAGGCAGAGAGGAGACAACACGGCUCUGGGACCUGUCUCUGAUGAUUAAUAACGACUGCCCCCACGCACUGCAAUUCGGUCGGGCAAGAGAGAUCCACACGAACUCCUGCCGCUGCAAGGGACGUCGCUGAUGGCUUACACUGGAAGACGAGCUGUAUCACUGAAGGGAAGGACAUCCGUGUGCAAAUUGCUACAAGGGGACUGAGGCUGGGUGCCAUGCAAAACCAGAAACAAUGUUGCCCGAAGGAGCAAGGCCAUGAGAGGGAAAUGCCAGACCGGCAGCAGAGCCGCGUGCAACCAAGCGAUUGCGCUGCUAUUGAAGGAAAAACUGACUGCAGUUAGAGAAUUCAUGGACUAACAUACAUGUGCUGUCUGCGUUA